rnacentral:rRNA from 1 species
GUGAGUAACACGUGGGUGAUCUGCCCUGCACUCUGGGAUAAGCCUGGGAAACUGGGUCUAAUACCGGAUAUGACCAACUGUCGCAUGGUGGUUGGUGGAAAGCUUUUGCGGUGUGGGAUGGGCCCGCGGCCUAUCAGCUUGUUGGUGGGGUAAUGGCCUACCAAGGCGACGACGGGUAGCCGACCUGAGAGGGUGAUCGGCCACACUGGGACUGAGACACGGCCCAGACUCCUACGGGAGGCAGCAGUGGGGAAUAUUGCACAAUGGGCGCAAGCCUGAUGCAGCGACGCCGCGUGAGGGAUGACGGCCUUCGGGUUGUAAACCUCUUUCACCAGGGACGAAGCGUGAGUGACGGUACCUGGAGAAGAAGCACCGGCCAACUACGUGCCAGCAGCCGCGGUAAUACGUAGGGUGCGAGCGUUGUCCGGAAUUACUGGGCGUAAAGAGCUCGUAGGCGGUUUGUCGCGUCGUCUGUGAAAUUCUGCAACUCAAUUGCAGGCGUGCAGGCGAUACGGGCAGACUUGAGUACUACAGGGGAGACUGGAAUUCCUGGUGUAGCGGUGAAAUGCGCAGAUAUCAGGAGGAACACCGGUGGCGAAGGCGGGUCUCUGGGUAGUAACUGACGCUGAGGAGCGAAAGCGUGGGUAGCGAACAGGAUUAGAUACCCUGGUAGUCCACGCCGUAAACGGUGGGUACUAGGUGUGGGUUCCUUUUCACGGGAUCCGUGCCGUAGCUAACGCA